rnacentral:lncRNA from 1 species
GAUGAUGUAGUAGAGAUUCAACUUCUUUUUCUUAAUCAUAUGAUACAUGAUGCAGAGAUCUGUAUCAGUGACUGCUUCAAAAGUACCACUUCUAGGAAGCAAGGUGUGCCCAAUCAUGUUGUGCAGUAUUUUUGGAACAUCUUUCAAGUUUGUGGAGUUGAAAGGGAGGUAAUGUUUAGUGUACUCGACUAUGUGUUUGUUACGACUAACCUUCAUCUCAUGAAACUAG